GUGGGUAUAAUUUAAUAAAAAUGUUAGAUUGUGAUUCUAAAAACAGAGGUUAAAGCCCUCUUAUCCACC
rnacentral:tRNA from 1 species